rnacentral:rRNA from 1 species
GGUAGUCCACGCCGUAAACGAUGUCGACUUGGAGGUUGUGCCCUUGAGGCGUGGCUUCCGGAGCUAACGCGUUAAGUCGACCGCCUGGGGAGUACGGCCGCAAGGUUAAAACUCAAAUGAAUUGACGGGGGCCCGCACAAGCGGUGGAGCAUGUGGUUUAAUUCGAUGCAACGCGAAGAACCUUACCUACUCUUGACAUCCAGAGAACUUAGCAGAGAUGCUUUGGUGCCUUCGGGAACUCUGAGACAGGUGCUGCAUGGCUGUCGUCAGCUCGUGUUGUGAAAUGUUGGGUUAAGUCCCGCAACGAGCGCAACCCUUAUCCUUUGUUACCAGCGGUUAGGCCGGGAACUCAAAGGAGACUGCCAGUGAUAAACUGGAGGAAGGUGGGGAUGACGUCAAGUCAUCAUGGCCCUUACGAGUAGGGCUACACACGUGCUACAAUGGCGCAUACAAAGAGAAGCGACCUCGCGAGAGCAAGCGGACCUCAUAAAGUGCGUCGUAGUCCGGAUUGGAGUCUGCAACUCGACUCCAUGAAGUCGGAAUCGCUAGUAAUCGUAGAUCAGAAUGCUACGGUGGAUACGUUCCCGGGCCUUGUACACACCGCCCGUCACACCAUGGGAGUGGGUCGCAAAAGAAGUAGGUAGCUUAACCUUCGGGAGGGCGCUUACCACUUUGUGAUUCAUGACUGGGGUGAAGUCGUAACAAGGUAACCGUAGGGGAACCUGC